GUGGCUGGCGGGCGCGGGGAAAAU
rnacentral:piRNA from 1 species